GUAACACGUGGGUAACCUGCCCUUAAGUGGGGGAUAACAUUUGGAAACAGAUGCUAAUACCGCAUAAAUCCAAGAACCGCAUGGUCUUGGCUGAAAGAUGGCGUAAGCUAUCGCUUUUGGAUGGACCCGCGGCGUAUUAGCUAGUUGGUGAGGUAACGGCUCACCAAGGCAAUGAUACGUAGCCGAACUGAGAGGUUGAUCGGCCACAUUGGGACUGAGACACGGCCCAAACUCCUACGGGAGGCAGCAUG
rnacentral:rRNA from 1 species